CGCGGGGGUGGAGCAGCCCUGGUAGCUCGUCGGGCUCAUAACCCGAAGGUCGUCGGUUCAAAUCCGGCCCCCGCAACCA
rnacentral:tRNA from 1 species